GUAUAGCUCAGUGGUAGAGCACAUGCUUAGCAUGCACAAGGUCCUAGGUUCAAUCCCCAGUAC
rnacentral:tRNA from 1 species